GCUAACUACGUGCCAGCAGCCGCGGUAAUACGUAGGGGGCAAGCGUCGUCCGGAAUUAUUGGGCGUAAAGCGCGCGCAGGCGGUCUCUUAAGUCUGAUGUGAAAGCCCACGGCUCAACCGUGGAGGGUCAUUGGAAACUGGGGGACUUGAGUGUAGGAGAGGAAAGUGGAAUUCCACGUGUAGCGGUGAAAUGCGUAGAUAUGUGGAGGAACACCAGUGGCGAAGGCGACUUUCUGGCCUAUAACUGACGCUGAGGCGGGAAAGCGUGGGGAGCAAACAGGAUUAGAUACCCUGGUAGUCCACGCCGUAGACGGUGAGUGCUAGGUGUUAGGGGUUUCGAUGCCCUUAGUGCCGAAGUUAACACAUUAAGCACUCCGCCUGGGGAGUACGACCGCAAGGUUGAAACUCAAAGGAAUUGACGGGGGCCCGCACAAGCAGUGGAGCAUGUGGUUUAAUUCGAAGCAACGCGAAGAACCUUACCAGGUCUUGACAU
rnacentral:rRNA from 1 species